AGCAGUAGCCGCGGGAAUACAGAGGGUGCGAGCGUUAAUCGGAUUUACUGGGCGUAAAGCGUGCGUAGGCGGCUAAUUGAGUCGGAUGUGAAAUCCCCGAGCUUAACUUGGGAAUUGCAUUCGAUACUGGUUAGCUAGAGUGUGGGAGAGGAUGGUAGAAUUCCAGGUGUAGCGGUGAAAUGCGUAGAGAUCUGGAGGAAUACCGAUGGCGAAGGCAGCCAUCUGGCCUAACACUGACGCUGAGGUACGAAAGCAUGGGGAGCAAACAGGAUUAGAGACCCCAGUAGUCCCUGUCUCUUAUAC
rnacentral:rRNA from 1 species